UUAAUGCUAAAGCACUAAAACUUAAUACUGUCUCGUUCUCUCCGUCCUCCUCUUCUGCUUCCAGCUUUUUUUCUUCUCCUUUUCUGUUUGUUUGCUUGUUAUCGGCUUUUCAUUUUCCUUUUGGGAUUUAUCUGUUUUUCUGGUGAUAUUUUGAGUUUUAGAGCUUCAAUUAUCUUCUCUGUUUCUUCGGACAUAAUCUUUAACCAACGCCUUCCUUUCGUUUUUCUUCUAUUCUUUCAGACAUGCUUUACAAUUGUCUAAUUUGUGCCAGAGAUGACAACCGGUGUCUACUGACAAAAGGAGAAGAAAACAGUCAUAUAUAAGUCUAUUUGUUUUGGUGAUUUUUUUCUGUAAUUUUCCUUUGUUUGUUAGUAGUCACAAUUUGUUGGGUAUACAUUAGUUUCCUAGCUAUUCUUUUGGUGAAGCAGUGAGACGUUGCAAACUCUUGAGCAAAAAGAGAAGCAAGAGCUAUUAUUUCACGUAUCACGAGGAAACGAAAAUGAAUUAUUUGUCAACAAUUGAUGCAGGAGCAAAUAGUGAUGAUUCUUAUGAUGAUGAUUUUGAAGAUUCUGAUUAUACCUUGGGCGAAGAUGAUAUAUUAUUCUCCAAAAAUAUUGAUCCUUCAGCUGAAUCUUUUGGGAUCAGUAUACAUGAAAAAAAAUGAUGGAAAACAAGAUUAUGUAAGUGGAGGGAUACAGAAUGAGAAGGGUGACUCAAAUUGUGUAUAUUCCGAUGAUUUGAGUUUGAAUAGUGACUGCGCACUUUGGCCAGUUUUUGCUUGUCA